rnacentral:lncRNA from 1 species
AUGUAGUAGAUAGAUUUUUGCACUUUAUUUUCUUCUUGGAUCAGUAUCAAGCUGAUAGCUUCAGAAGUUGUUGCCAAAUACAUAAAUAAUUUGUCAUUGGUAUUUGAUUUUGUUAGAAGUGGAGGAAAGUUUAAGUACUGCUUUAGAUCGUCGAAAGCUUUCUGACACUCUUCCAUCCAGGUGAAGUUUUUCAUCUGCCAAAGGGCUUUGAAGAAGGGAAGGCACCGCUCUACAGACUUGAAAAUAAAUUGACUUAAGGAUGCAAUGCAUCCUGCUAAUUUUUGAAUAUUUCAUCAAGA